UACAGAGGGUGCAAGCGUUAAUCGGAAUUACUGGGCGUAAAGGGCAUGUAGGUGGUAAAACAAGUUUGAUGUGAAAGCCCCGGGCUUAACCUGGGAACGGCGUUGAAGACUGUUUAACUAGAGUCAGAGAGAGGGUCGUGGAAUUUCCGGUGUAGCGGUGAAAUGCGUAGAGAUCGGAAAGAACACCAGUGGCGAAGGCGGCGACCUGGAUUUAGACUGACACUGAGGUGCGAAAGCGUGGGGAGCAAACAGG
rnacentral:rRNA from 1 species